AGCGCAGGCGGGAGAACAAGUUGGAAGUGAAAUCCAUGGGCUCAACCCAUGAACUGCUUUCAAAACUGUUUUUCUUGAGUAGUGCAGAGGUAGGCGGAAUUCCCGGUGUAGCGGUGGAAUGCGUAGAUAUCGGGAGGAACACCAGUGGCGAAGGCGGUCUACUGGGCACCAACUGACGCUGAGGCUCGAAAGCAUGGGUAGCAAACA
rnacentral:rRNA from 1 species